rnacentral:rRNA from 1 species
UACGUAGGGGGCAAGCGUUGUUCGGAAUUACUGGGCGUAAAGGGCGCGUAGGCGGCAUGGCAAGUCGGGAGUGAAAGGCCUGGGCUCAACCGAGGAACUGCUUUCGAGACUGCCAAGCUAGAGUGCGGAAGGGGCAUCUGGAAUUCCCAGUGUAGCGGUGAAAUGCGUAGAUAUUGGGAAGAACACCUGAGGCGAAGGCGGGAUGCUGGGCCGACACUGACGCUGAGGCGCGAAAGCCAGGGGGAGCAAACGGG